GACGGGGGAUGCAAGUGUUAUCCGGAAUCACUGGGCGUAAAGCGUCUGCAGGUGGUUUCCUAAGUCCACUGUUAAACCUUGAGGCUCAACCUCAAAUCUGCAUUGGAAACUAGGAGACUUGAGUAUAGUAGGGGUAGAGGGAAUUUCCAGUGGAGCGGUGAAAUGCGUAGAUAUUGGAAAGAACACCGAUGGCGAAGGCACUCUACUGGGCUAUUACUGACACUCAGAGACGAAAGCUUGGGGAGCAAAUGGG
rnacentral:rRNA from 1 species